rnacentral:rRNA from 1 species
GUAGGUGGCAAGCGUUGUCCGGAUUUACUGGGCGUAAAGAGCGCGCAGGCGGUCGUGCAAGUCGCGUGUGAAAGCCCCCGGCUCAACUGGGGAGGGUCACGCGAUACUGCUCGACUCGAAGGCAGGAGAGGGAAGUGGAAUUCCCGGUGUAGUGGUGAAAUGCGUAGAUAUCGGGAGGAACACCAGUGGCGAAGGCGACUUCCUGGCCUGUCCUUGACGCUGAGGCGCGAAAGCUAGGGUAGCAAACGGGAUUAGAUACCCCGGUAGUCCUAGCCGUAAACGAUGGACACUAGGUGUUGGUGGUAUCAACCCCGCCAGUGCCGAAGCUAACGCAUUAAGUGUCCCGCCUGGGGAGUACGGCCGCAAGGCUA